rnacentral:rRNA from 1 species
AUUGAACGCUGGCGGCAGGCCUAACACAUGCAAGUCGAGCGAGAGGCGGACGGGUGAGUAAUGUAUGGGGACUGCCCGAUAGAGGGGGAUAAAAACAGGAAAAGGGGGCGAAUACCGCAUACGGUCGGAUAACCCAUAUGGGAUUAGCUAGUAGGUAAGGUAAUGGCUUACCUAGGCGACGAUCCCUAGCUGGUCUGAGAGGAUGAUCAGCCACACUGGGACUGAGACACGGCCCAGACUCCUACGGAGGCAGCAGUGGGGAAUAUUGCACAAUGGGCGCAAGCCUGAUGCAGCCAUGCCGCGUGUAUGAAGAAGGCCCUAGGGUUGUAAAGUACUUUCAGUCGGGAGGCGUUACCGACAGAAGAAGCACCGGCUAACUCCGUGCCAGCAGCCGCGGUAAUUC